GUAGGUGAACCUGCGGAAGGAUCAUUGAAAAUUCUGGCCGAAAGGCUGGGUUGAGGGGGUUUCCAGUGAACUUGAAAUCAGUGCGAUGGAACACUGCUCUAUACGUUUUGAGGAUGGGAUGUGAUCAUUGUAACAGUUCAGCGUCAGGUACGGGUUAGGAGACGAGGCCCGGGAACCGUGUGAACCUCAGCUGUGUACCGCCCAUACAGUUUAAAUGGGGCUACCCACGGUUUCUCAGUACCUGCUGAAG
rnacentral:misc_RNA from 1 species